rnacentral:rRNA from 1 species
UACGUAGGUGGCAAGCGUUGUCCGGAAUCAUUGGGCGUAAAGAGCGUGUAGGCGGCCCGAUAAGUCCGCCGUGAAAGUCCAGGGCUCAACCCUGGAAUGCCGGUGGAAACUGUCGGGCUGGAGUCCGGAAGAGGCGAGUGGAAUUCCUGGUGUAGCGGUGAAAUGCGCAGAUAUCAGGAGGAACACCAAUGGCGAAGGCAGCUCGCUGGGACGGUACUGACGCUGAGACGCGAAAGCGUGGGGAGCAAACAGG